CGGCGAUGCGGUUAAUGAAGUCUGCGGCUGAUCACUCGACGGAUAUCAAUUAAACUUAACCUAGUGGUGUGCAAUGUUUUGUUGUCGCCCAGUACUCUAUGCAUACGUGAGCGGUCUGGACAAGACAAAAUAAUUACAACACACACUGAUGUUUACCUGUCACAGGAAACUAAAGACAGACAAACAUAUUAUAACGACGAGAAAGUAAUUAUAAUCGUGUGCGUGACUAUUGGGUUUUUUUUCUACACCGUUCUUCAUAUGCCAUAAACAUAAUACAGAUUAUUACAGUUAAGAUUUGGAUAUGACCGAUAAUCCUACAAGAUUAACCAAUGAAUAUACAUAUUAGAAAGAAUCCAAUGUAUGUAGCCUAGAAACUACCAGGAAAUAAUAAAACUUUUGAAUUAUGUUUACAUUAAUUGGACGAACAGAUUUAAAACACGGAGAGACAAUAAUUUUUAGAAUCAAAAUGCGGAGAGGAGGUAUUAAAAUGUAAUAAAAAUGCAUACAAGAGAAUAACUCAUAUAUAUGCUUUUGACCCGAAGGUAUUAUUACUUUUUUAUUUUUGUCGACAUUACAUAGGUUAAUAACAAUUUUUGUAAACUCCCUACUCAGGUCUGUGGACAACCGAUGUUUAACAUACUCGCACGCAGAGGGGAGCCGCUUUACAUUUAUACACACACAAUUUAAUAUGAUGUACAUGUUUAUAAAAAUAUUGUUAUUACAGUGCAUAGAAUUCAGUCGUAUUGGAGGCGGGUCGAAUACCAUAAAAAAAAAAAAAAUGUGUGUAUAAAGUAAUAAACAUAAUCUACGGGGUAAAACGGUUAAUUAAAAUUCACGCUACUAUACAUGACGGCGGCUAAUUUCACGAAGAUACAGUCAGUCACGUUUUGUAAUUAUAAACUGGCAACUUGGGCAAGUCGCUAUCGAACAAAUCGUUAGUUACUAGAACAAGACAUCUGCCGAUUCCAAACGACUUGGAGUCUAGGUAAUGAAACUGUACUUUUAAAAUGGGUACUACAGUAAUACUGUAAAAAAAACUCAAAUUUUAUAUUGGUUUGAUUGAAAAAGCGAGGUAGUUUUUAAUUAUAAAACCCAAACUUUCAAGUUCGGCUUAAAUGAUACUUGUAUAUAUUUCUAUUCAUAUUGAAUAUGUCACUGAUAGCAAUCAUGUGUCUCUGGAGUUGGCUAUUGUUUAAAUCAAUUCUAAUGUUACAUUGGUAAGGUGUUAAGCAUCCGCGCUCGAUGAGAAUAGAAAUCCUGUCGCUAAUUUAUGAGUAGCAACGUCUUAU